rnacentral:rRNA from 1 species
UUUCGCCUUCCGAUGACCCAUGGCCCAUCMGCUAGUUGGUAGGGUAAAGGCCUACNNAGGCUNCGACGGGUCGCUGGUCUGAGAGGACGACCAGCNACACUGGCACUGAGAUACGGGCNAGACUCCNNNGGGAGGCAGCAGUGAGGAAUAUUGCGCAAUGGGGGAAACCCUGACGCAGCAACGCCGCGUGUGGGAAGAAGGCCUUCGGGUCGUAAACCNCUUUUGCACGGGACGAAAAAGGGAUAUCGAACAAAUAUCCCNGAUGACGGUACCGUGAGAAUAAGCCACGGCNNACUCUG